GGCAGCAGUCCUUAAGGAAGAAUUCAACAUUGAUUUACGUGUCAUGGGAAUUACUGGCUCAAGGAGAAUGCUUUUAAGUGAAGUGUAAGCCUUAAGCUUCAUGCUUGCAUAUGAAGUUCUUGCCCGUAUGACAUGAUGAAGGGACCACUAUUUGCUUUAUUUGGGAAAUCAUCUAACCAAAUAAUAUACCCCACAUGGAUUAUAUUAGCCAUAUAAAAUCAAGGAAUGAGCCUUCAAGGAUGUGCUAAAGUAGUAGGCCUAAUGCAAAUUGUUAUGAUACUUUGAAUAUUACUGCAAAAUUAGAAGUUCAAAUGUGGGAGAGCUGCUGUGAAAAAAGGCAUUAAACAUUAUGAGGGUGGGUUUUUGUUUGCUGGUUUUACAAUCCCGCAAGUGCAUGGAUCGCUAACA
rnacentral:misc_RNA from 1 species